UGGAUGCAGUGCAACAACUAUAUAGCGAGGCCUUUGGGUAGCUACAAAUGAAUUGUGCAAUUAAAUGGCAUAUGAAGUGAAGCUGACUUGGAUGCUGAAAAGAUCGCUUUUAUACUGAGAUAGCAAUGAUGAAGGCCUUAUGGGGCAUGAAAGGCAAGCUAGCUGGUACAGGAACGCAGUUGAGUUACAUGCUUUUGCUUCAAGCUUUACUCUUCAAGCUUCCGAGGUUGAAUUUGAGUUACAAGGAGGGUGAAAGAUGGAUUGUGGCAUUGUGCAUGUCAUCCGUAGAUCAAAGCUUGAUGCAAAACUAAGGCAGCUUUUAAAGAUUUGGUUUGGCAGAUGGGUUGCAUUAUUAUGAUGAGUGAGAAAAUUCUACUUGAGCUCAUUAUAAUCAAUCAUUUCACAAUCAGUGUGUAUGUAUAAUUAAAUAUCAGAAUCAGCAACAACAAAAAAAUGCUCAGGCAUUGUUGUUUUUGGGAGCUUUGAUGAUAAUAGAGCCCCGUUUAAAUGACAAAAGCCAAUUCUGUGACUCUUGUUUCUGCAGCCUAUGUAUAUAAGCUUAUUCUCCGGACCAUGACAAUACAUAACUAUGGUUCACUAAA